rnacentral:rRNA from 1 species
AUUGAACGCUGGCGGCAGGCCUAACACAUGCAAGUCGAGCGGAUGAAGGGAGCUUGCUCCUGGAUUCAGCGGCGGACGGGUGAGUAAUGCCUAGGAAUCUGCCUGGUAGUGGGGGAUAACGUCCGGAAACGGGCGCUAAUACCGCAUACGUCCUGAGGGAGAAAGUGGGGGAUCUUCGGACCUCACGCUAUCAGAUGAGCCUAGGACGGAUUAGCUAGUUGGUGGGGUAAAGGCCUACCAAGGCGACGAUCCGUAACUGGUCUGAGAGGCUGAUCAGUCACACUGGACCUGAGACACGGUCCAGACUCCUACGGGAGGCAGCAGUGGGGAAUAUCCGACAAUGGGCGAAAGCCUGCUCCAGCCAUGCCGCGUGUGUGAAGAAGGUCUUCGGAUUGUAAAGCACGUUAAGUUGGGAGGAAGAGCAGUAAGUUAAUACCUCGCUGUUUGGACGUGACCAACAGAAUAAGCACCGGCUAACUUCGU